UGAGUUUGAUCAUGGCUCAGGAUGAACGCUGGCGGCGUGCCUAAUACAUGCAAGUCGAGCGAGGUAGCUUGCUACCUAGCGGCGAACGGGUGAGUAACACGUUGGUAAUCUACCUUUCAGUUGGGGAUACCCAGAGGAAACUUUGGCUAAUACCGUAAUACGUAAUAAGGUGAAAUUCCUUAUUAUAAAAGGCCCUUUUGGGUCGCUGAUAGAUGAGCCUGCGUCUGAUUAGCUAGUUGGUGAGAUAAUAGCCCACCAAGGCGAGGAUCAGUAGCCGAUCUGAGAGGAUGAACGGCCACAAUGGAACUGAGACACGGUCCAUACUCCUACGGGAGGCAGCAGUAGGGAGUUUUCGACAAUGGGGGCAACCCUGAUCGAGCAACGCCGCGUGUGUGAUGAAGGUCUUCGGAUUGUAAAGCACUUUUAUAAGGGAUAAAUGGUAUUGAUAGUGGAAAGAUUGAUAUUUGAUAGUACCUUAUGAAUAAGUAACGACUAACUUCGUGCCAGCAGUCGCGGUAAUACGAAGGUUACGAGCGUUAUCCGGAAUUAUUGGGCGUAAAGAGUGAGCAGGCGGUUUAUUAAGUUUGAAGUCAAAUGGAUAGGCUCAACCUAUUCUCGCUUCAAAAACUGAUAAACUAAAGUAUGUGAGAGGUAAGUAGAACUCCUUGUGUACCGGUGAAAUGCAUAGAUAUAUGGAAAAAUACCAGUGGCGAAGGCGGCUUACCAGCACAAGACUGACGUUCAGUCACGAAAGCGUGGGUAGCAAAUAGGAUUAGAUACCCUAGUAGUCCACGCCGUAAACGAUGAUUACUAAAUGUUCCUUUUGGAGCGCUGAAGCUAACGCAUUAAGUAAUCCGCCUGGGAAGUACGAUCGCAAGAUUGAAACUUAAAGGAAUUGACGGGGUCCCGCACAAGCAGUGGAGCACGUGGUUUAAUUCGACGCUACGCGAAGAACCUUACCAGGACUUGACAUAGAGUUAAAAGCUUUAGAAAUAGAGUCAUAGUCAUAACUCAUACAGGUGGUGCAUGGUUGUCGUCAGCUCGUGUCGUGAGAUGUUGGGUUAAGUCCCGCAACGAGCGCAACCCUUGUCCUUAGUUGCCAUCAUUCAGUUGGGAACUCUAGGGAGACUGCCGAUGUUAAAUCGGAGGAAGGUGGGGAUGAUGUCAAAUCAUCAUGCCCUUUAUGUCCUGGGCGACACACGUGCUACAAUGGUCGGUACAAAGAGUCGCAACCUCGCGAGGGGAAGCUAAUCUCGUAAAGCCGAUCUCAGUACGGAUUGGAGUCUGCAACUCGACUCCAUGAAGCUGGAAUUGCUAGUAAUCGCGAAUCAGCCAUGUCGCGGUGAAUACGUUCUCGGGGCUUGUACACACCGCCCGUCAAACCAUGAGAGCUGGUAAUACUUGAAGCCGUUAUCCUAACCGUAAGGAGGGAGACGUCUAAGGUAGGACUGGUGAUUGGGGUUAAGUCGUAACAAGGUAGCA
rnacentral:rRNA from 1 species